rnacentral:rRNA from 1 species
GACGAACGCUGGCGGCGCGCCUCAUACAUGCAAGUCGAACGAGAAGCCCGGGCUUGCCCGGGUGGAGAGUGGCGAACGGGUGAGGAACACGUGAGGAACCUGCCCCGAAGACUGGGAUAACACCGGGAAACCGGUGCUAAUACCGGAUGCCCUCACCGGACCGCAUGAUCCGGUGAGGAAAUGGAUUCCGCUUCGGGAUGGCCUCGCGGCCUAUCAGCUUGUUGGUGGGGUAAUGGCCCACCAAGGCUUCGACGGGUAGCUGGUCUGAGAGGAUGUCCAGCCACACUGGGACUGAGACACGGCCCAGACUCCUACGGGAGGCUGCAGUCGAGGAUCUUCGGCAAUGAGCGCAAGCUUGACCGAGCGACGCCGCGUGCGCGAUGAAGGCCUUCGGGUUGUAAAGCGCGAAAGAGGGGAGAAAAGCCCGCAAGGGUCUGAUCUAUCCUCAGUAAGCACGGGCUAAGUUCGUGCCAGCCGCCGCUGUAACAC